rnacentral:lncRNA from 1 species
UAACUUAUAUUGUUCGAACUGAGGAUUCGGUCGCUGACCAGCGAAUAGAACACACGUGUUUAGCUCGUAUCUUAACUCGAUUCUCGGGCAGAUAUAGCAAUAAAACAAUUGUGUUAUACAAAAGUGCAGUGUAACUAUAAACCAAUAUAUGUAGGUACAUAAAUAAACAACCUAAUUAGUUAACUAAUUAUACAGUGAAAAAAUCGGAAAAAAGUAA